rnacentral:misc_RNA from 1 species
GGAUUUUCUAUUUUGGAAGUUGCAGAUAAGUUGGUAGCUAUUUGAUUAAUCCUUGCUGCCUAGUUGGCAAAAUUGUUAAGCCUGGUAUGUCUGAGAACAGAAAACUGGAUAGAUGCUCUCCUUCUUUGGAACAUAAUGCCACUGACCUUUAAUGUAUACAUGCUUUGUUUCUGGUCGUGUGGUUAAAUGUUGUUGGAUUUUGAUGUCCUGUAUGUA